rnacentral:rRNA from 1 species
GACGGAGGGUGCAAGCGUUGUUCGGAAUUACUGGGCGUAAAGCGUAUGUAGGCGGUUAGUUAAGUCGGAUGUAAAAGCCUGAGGCUCAACCUCAGAACUGCAUUCGAUACUGGCUGACUAGAGGACGAUAGAGGAGAGCGGAAUUCCCAGUGUAGCGGUGAAAUGCGUAGAUAUUGGGAGGAACAUCGGUGGCGAAGGCGGCUCUCUGGGUCGUUCCUGACGCUGAGGUACGAAAGCGUGGGGAGCAAACGGG